UUGGAGGGCAAGUCUGGUGCCAGCAGCCGCGGUAAUUCCAGCUCCGAUAGCGUAUAUUAAAGUUGUUGCAGUUAAAAAGCUCGUAGUUGAAUUUCGGGAUCAAGGAAUCGGUCAUGCCUUGGUAUGUACUGGUUUUAUUGGUUCUCACCUUCUAAAAAACCAUAAUGUCAUUUAUUUGAUGUUAUGGGGAAUUAGGACUGUUACCUUGAAAAAAUUAGAGUGUUUAAAGCAAGCUUACGCUUGAAUACAUUAGCAUGGAAUAAUGAAAUAGGACAUCAGAUUCUAUUUUGUUGGUUUCUAGGAUCGAUGUAAUGAUUAAUAGGGAUAGUUGGGGGCAUUAGUAUUCAAUUGUCAGAGGUGAAAUUCUUGGAUUUAUUGAAGACUAACUACUGCGAAAGCAUUUGCCAAGGAUGUUUUCAUUAAUCAAGAACGAAAGUUAGGGGAUCGAAGACGAUCAGAUACCGUCGUAGUCUUAACCAUAAACUAUGCCGACUAGGGAUCGGAUGAUGUUAAUUUUAUAAUGACUCAUUCGGCGCCUUACGGGAAAC
rnacentral:rRNA from 1 species